CCAGAACCAUGAUCUCAUGUAUAAGUCAUGUCACAUCUUAGUCUAAUUAAAUCCCUUUCCAGAAUUAGUACUUCUUUGGCCAACUCAUUGCUGAGCACUAACUUUGCUAAGAAACAUCCAUCCUGAAGCAAGGAGAAGACAGAUUGAACCUGUGAGAACUGCAGAGAAGUCAGCCCUCUUUAGCAUAAUCCAUCUCCAUUGGUGUGUAUGGAAAUGCCAGGAGAGGGUCUGAUGGACUGGCCUGGGUACCAGUGUGCAGAGCCGUCUCCAUGGAAACUGGGCUGCAACAGGGAGCCAGGACUUUACAAGGAGACACACCUGCAGCUCUUAAGUCUCAGGGCAUUUAUUUCCUCCCCCUCACUUCAUUCACAUCUUUUUAUUAAAUGAGUCGAUUUGUCACCACCAACUCUCUCUAUACAUCAGCCCAGGUUCUGAUCUGGGGGAAAAAUAAAACUUUCAGUUCAAAAAUUUGCAGAGACACAGAGUAGUAAGUAGCUGCUGCAGAUGAAACGAGAUGUGGCAGCCUUCUGUGAAUUGAAUGACUUAAUAAUUCUGGCUGCUCCUUCCCUGGAAAAAAUAUAGCAGAAGCAUCAAGCUAUCUUGACUAUUUCUGUCACUUAAGUCACCGAUAGAAGAAACCACUGGACACUUCAGUUGUGUGUCUGUAGUCUCUGGG
rnacentral:lncRNA from 1 species